rnacentral:rRNA from 1 species
UACGUAGGGGGCGAGCGUUGUCCGGAAUUAUUGGGCGUAAAGAGCGUGUAGGCGGUUCGGUAAGUCUGCCGUGAAAUCUCCGGGCUUAACCCGGAGCGGCCAAGUGAUACUGUCGUGCUAGAGUGCGGAAGGGGCUACUGGAAUUCUCGGUGUAGCGGUGAAAUGCGUAGAUAUCGGGAGGAACACCUGAGGCGAAGGCGGGCUACUGGGCCGAUACUGACGCUGAUGCGCGAAAGCCAGGGGAGCGAACGGG